rnacentral:rRNA from 1 species
AUUCCGAUAACGAACGAGACUCCGGCCUGCUAGUUAGUGUAGUAGCGUCCAGUGGGGCGAGAGUUCUUAAAGUUCGGUUUCGGCCGUUCUUUUCCUUUUUCUCACCCGCUACUACGACCCAAAAAGACUUCUUAGAGGGACGGGCGGUGGCCAGCCGCACGAGAAGGAGCGAUAACAGGUCUGUGAUGCCCUUAGACGUCCGGGGCCGCACGCGUGCUACACUGGGGGAGUCAACGCGGACUACCUCCCGGCCCGAAGGGCGUCGGGAAAGCCGCUGAGUCUCCCCCGUGCUCGGGAUCGGGGCUUGACCAUUGUGCCCCGUCAACGAGGAAUUCCCCGUAGGCGCUGGUCAUAACCCAGCGCCGAUUACGUCCCUGCCCUUUGUACACACCGCCCGUCGCUACCAUCGGUGGACGGUCUAGCGAGGACCUCGGACCGGCGCUGUUAAUAUUCCCUUUACGGGGUAUAUUCCUCGCCGGGAAGACGCCCGAACUCGGUCGCUCGGAGAUAGUAAAAGUCGUAACAAGGUUUCCGUAGGUGAA